rnacentral:lncRNA from 1 species
GCUACCCUGGAGAAACUGCCCAUGGGGCAGCCCUGCUUUGCAAGGAGCAGGACCUCUGCUGCUGCUGCACACUGCCGCUUCAAUAAAAUUUGCUGUCUAACACCACUGGCUCACCCUUGAAUUCUUUCCUGGGUGAACCCUCCCAAGCUAAGCCCCAAGUUUGGGGCUCUCCUGCCCUGCAUCAGAACCAGGUGGAGAGCUUGGCACAAGCAUAAGGGGUGGGCCGCAACGGCGAGGCCAGGUCAGCCUGAUGUGGUGCUUGGUGUACAGCACGUUCCACCAGUGGCAGGCUCAGGAGCACAUUCUUCCAUUGGGCCAAGGGGGCAGCCCACAGCUGGACGUGGUCAUUUACAAAGGAGGAUGGUUUUCAAAGGCCUUCAUCCAGGGCAAGCCUAACUGCCCCCCACAGAAAGGACUGGAGGUAUUCCUUAGUCAAAGGGACUCAAGGUUAAAAGAGGUUGAAACUGGCCAGCCAGGAAAGUCAAGAUCUACCUCAUUUGGCAGGAAUUCAGCCAGAGGUACCCAGAGGGGAUUCCUUACGAACUCAUAAAAGCCUCCUUAUCUCCCAGAAAAGGAGUGGGUUGUGGGGAUCCACCACACUCAGAGAGCGCUCGCAUAGAUGAGCCUGGGGCUGAGCCACCAGGAGCUGUGCUGUGCCUCAGC